AUGCUGAUGGAGAAGCCUAGCUGGGUUCGCCAUGACGGCCUGCAGAUCUUCUCCAUCAACAUCCAGCCCAGCGGCCUCCGCUUCGCCACGGGAGGUAGCGACCAGAAGGUUCACAUAUGGAACAUGAAACCCGUGAGCAAAGACAACCAAAAUGAUGAUUCCAAUCAAACAUUUCUGGCUACAAUGCGUGACCAUUUCGGAUCAGUAAACUGUGUGAGAUGGGCCAAGCAUGGACGCUAUCUCGCUUCUGGAUCAGACGAUCAAGCUAUCGUAAUUCGUGAAAGGAAAGCUGGUUCCGGUACAUCUGAGUUUGGAAGUGGAGAGCCUGCAGAUAUAGAAAAUUGGAAGGUCAUUAUGACCUUAAGGGGGCAUACUGCAGAUGUGGUAUGUUGGGUUCUUCCUUGCAUGGGCGAUUUUGUGCAAUCUUUGCUUUGCCUCUGCCGUCGGCGGCUGCACCUGUCAUGCUCGUGCUGGGAGAAUGUCAAGCUGAUCUCUGAGACAAGCCUUGGGGUUUACAGGUUCAAGGGCAGAGCCAUAGAUUUAGCCUCUAAAAAUAGGCUCUGA
rnacentral:rRNA from 1 species